rnacentral:rRNA from 1 species
UACGUAGGGUGCAAGCGUUGUUCGGAAUUACUGGGCGUAAAGGGCGCGUAGGCGGGUUGGUAAGUCGAUUGUGAAAGCCCUGGGCUUAACCCGGGAAUGGCAGUCGAAACUACCAAUCUUGAGUGCCUGAGAGGAUGGCGGAAUUCCCGGUGUAGUAGUGAAAUACGUAGAUAUCGGGAAGAACACCUGAGGCGAAGGCGGCUAUCUGGCGGUGCACUGACGCUGAGGCGCGAAAGCGUGGGGAGCAAACAGG